rnacentral:rRNA from 1 species
GACGAACGCUGGCGGCGUGCUUAACACAUGCAAGUCGAACGCUGAAGCUCAGCUUUUGUUGGGUGGAUGAGUGGCGAACGGGUGAGUAACACGUGAGUAACCUGCCUCCCUCUUUGGGAUAACGCCCGGAAACGGGUGCUAAUACUGGAUAUUCACUGGUCUUCGCAUGGGGGUUGGUGGAAAGGGUUUUUCUGGUGGGGGAUGGGCUCGCGGCCUAUCAGCUUGUUGGUGGGGUGAUGGCCUACCAAGGCUUUGACGGGUAGCCGGCCUGAGAGGGUGACCGGUCACAUUGGGACUGAGAUACGGCCCAGACUCCUACGGGAGGCAGCAGUGGGGAAUAUUGCACAAUGGGCGCAAGCCUGAUGCAGCGACGCCGCGUGAGGGAUGGAGGCCUUCGGGUUGUGAACCUCUUUCGCUCAUGGUCAAGCCGCAACAAUGGUUGUGGUGAGGGUAGUGGGUAAAGAAGCGCCGGCUAACUACGUG